rnacentral:misc_RNA from 1 species
UUAAAAAUAAAUAAAUAAAUAAAGAAAUUGAGACCUGCCAGCAUGUUAAUUCCCAAACCAACCCUGUUUACUGUGUGUGGCCGCACAGAUACCAGCGCAGCUAUAUAUUAGAGCAUCUCCAUUACUCCUUUGAGCAGCAGUUCGGGACACAAUUUGCAUUCAUUAGCAGGCAUACAUAUUAAUCCUUGCAUAUCUUUCGUUGAAUCCAAUACAAACAUGAUCCGCUCCUAGCCUCAAACAGAUGGAGGAAAGGAGUGCAAGAUGUACAAGUCAAAUCUCAUCCACAACUCAUGAGCUGUGCCUUGAAUAUACAGCAAUUACUAGUUUGAAGCCCCUUCUGAUGUUUUAGAAGCAGAAACUCCUGCCCUUGCAUCUUUUGAAACCUUUAAUGACCUCAAUUUGGACGACCUCAAUGAAUGUAUCAAAGGAGCCU